rnacentral:rRNA from 1 species
UACGAAGGGAGCUAGCGUUACUCGGAAUCACUGGGCGUAAAGCGCAUGUAGGCGGAAUUUCAAGUCAGGGGUGAAAUCCCGGGGCUCAACCCCGGAAUUGCCUUUGAAACUGUAAUUCUUGAGUAUGACAGAGGAUGGUGGAAUUUCCAGUGUAGAGGUGAAAUUCGUAGAUAUUGGAAAGAACACCGGUGGCGAAGGCGACCAUCUGGGUCAUUACUGACGCUGAGAUGCGAAAGCGUGGGGAGCGAACGGG